rnacentral:lncRNA from 1 species
UGCAACAUCUGCUUCUGCCGCAUUUCNNNNNNNNNNNNNNNNNNNNCGGGGACGCCAGAACCACUUGGAGGAUUCUAUGGGAUCACCUGCCGAGCAUGCUGGAACCACCUCUCAGACGUGCCAGAACCUUGUGCCGGACACGCCGGAACCACCUGCCGAGUAUGCCGGAACCACCUGCUCCACUCCCCAGAACCACCUGCUGGACACGCCAAAAUCACCUGCCGGCAACGCCAGAACAACUCGGCAGACACUCCGGAACCACCUCCAGGACAGACCGGAACCAGCUGCCGGAAACGCCGGGACCAUCUGCUUGACUCGCCAGAACCACCCGCCGGACACGCCAGAAUCACCAGCCGGCUACGCCACAACCACUUGUCGCACACUCCGGAAUCACCUGCCGGGCAUGCGGGAACCACCUCUCAGAGGUGCCACAACCACAUGCCGGAGACGGCGGAAGCACCUGCCGAGAAUGCCGGAGUUCCUGAUCCACUCCCCAGAACCACCUGCCGGACACGCCAAAAUCACCUGCCGGCUAUGCCAGAACCACUUGGCGGACACUCCGGAAACACCUGUCGGGCCGGCCGCAACCACCUCUCAGACGUGCCAGAACCAUGUGCUUGAGAUGCCGGAACCACAGCCCGAACUGACCGAAACCACGUGCCAGACCCGCCUGAACCCCCUGGCGACCACGCCUGAUCCACCUGUUCAACUAGCCGGAACCACCUUCCUGACACGCCAAAAUCACCUGCCAGGUAUACCAGAACCACUGGGUGGACAUUCUGGAAUCAUCUGCCGGACAUGCCAGAACCAGCUCUCAGACACACCAGAACCACAUGCCAGAGACGCCGGAAGCACCAGCAUGCCUGAGCCACCUGCUCGACUCGCAAGAAACACCUGUCGGACAUGCCAAAAUCACCUGCCGGGUACGCCAGAAACACUUGGUGGACUCUCCGGAAUCACCUGUCGGGCAUGCGUGAAUCACCUCUUUGACUUGCCAGAAUAAUGUUCCGGACAUGCCGGUACCACCUGCCGAGCUCGCCGAAACCACCUGCUGGACAUGCC